rnacentral:rRNA from 1 species
ACUUAAUUUAAAAGUUUAAAGCUAAAAUAUUAAUAGUUAUGUUCUUAAAAUUUAGAGAAUUUGGCGGUGUUUUAGUCUGUUUAGAGGAACCUGUUUCGUAAAUGAUACACCUCAAAAUAUCUUACUUGCUUUAAGAGUUUGUAUACCGUCAUUAUUAGAUAAUUUUUAUAGAAAAAAUUAUUACAAUAAGUUUUUUAGUAUAUUAGAUCAAGGUGCAGCUUAUAGGUAAGUGAAAAUGGGUUACAAUAAUAUUUAUUUAUAACGGAUUAAGUUUUGAAAUAAAAUUAUGAAGGUGGAUUUAAUUGUAAUAUAAGUUUAAUAAGCUUGUGUGAUAUUAGCUCUAAAUUAUGU